rnacentral:rRNA from 1 species
UCUGUCUAAGACUAAGCCAUGCACGUCUAAGUACAAACUAAAUGAUGGUGAAACUGCAAAUGGCUCAUUACAACGGUUAUGAUGUACCCGGGAGUUCCGAUGGAUAUUUCCAGUAACACUAGAACUAAUACAUGUCCCUGCGUUUAUUAGUUUCGCACAGUCCGUCGCUGAGUCAUGGUAAACAGUUGAUCGACUCGACGUCCCGGAACAGUUUCCGCCCCAUCAGCUUCGAUGGUUGGGUAUUGGCCUACCAUUGCAACAACGGGUAACGAGGAAUUAGGGUUUGAUUUCGGAGAGGGAGCCUGAGAAACGGCUACCACAUCUACGGAUGGCAGCAGGCGCGCAAAUUACCCAAUGCAGACACUGUGAGGUAGUGACGAGAAAUAAUAAAGCGGGACUUCUGUUUCGCUAUUAUAAUGAGGAAUAACCAAAGGUCAUUCCGAUUAGCAACUGAUGGGAAAAGUCUGGUGCCAGCAGCCGCGGUAGUACCAGCGUCAGUA